UGGGGAAUAUUGGACAAUGGGCGAAAGCCUGAUCCAGCCAUGCCGCGUGUGUGAAGAAGGUCUUCGGAUUGUAAAGCACUUUAAGUUGGGAGGAAGGGCAGUUACCUAAUACGUGAUUGUUUUGACGUUACCGACAGAAUAAGCACCGGCUAACUCUGUGCCAGCAGCCGCGGUAAUACAGAGGGUGCAAGCGUUAAUCGGAAUUACUGGGCGUAAAGCGCGCGUAGGUGGUUUGUUAAGUUGGAUGUGAAAUCCCCGGGCUCAACCUGGGAACUGCAUUCAAAACUGACUGACUAGAGUAUGGUAGAGGGUGGUGGAAUUUCCUGUGUAGCGGCGAAAUGCGUAGAUAUAGGAAGGAACACCAGUGGCGAAGGCGACCACCUGGACUAAUACUGACACUGAGGUGCGAAAGCGUGGGGAGCAAACA
rnacentral:rRNA from 1 species